UCCCUGGAGGACUAGUGGUUAGGCCAUGGCACUCACACUGUAGAGGCAUGGGCUCAAUUCCCGGCUAGGGAA